rnacentral:lncRNA from 1 species
CAGAAACCAAGGUACUUCUCGGGCUCCCUGCUGGGCAAUCUGCAAACUUCUUUGCAGGAGUCCUGCUGACAGCUGGAUAUAUUAGACCCACCCACUUGAGAAUUAACCAACUCGGUGAUUAUAAGACUGACAGAGAAAAUAAACCUUCUCCCGUGGGAGAACCAAGUCACCUAUGAGGAGAACAAGGCGUUCUUGGCUCCCACCGUGAGUGGAGCCACUGAAGCAGGAACACACGGUGGCCAUGAAUGACAGCGGGUGCCAUGAACGACGGCAGGCAUCUUUGUUCCUCAGGCAAGUUGUUUCUGGGGAGACCAGAGUGUGCUGACUUCAGUAAAUAGACCACCCAUGUGUGUUCCGCCACAGACACCGCAACUCCAGGCAGUCACCACUGUUACACCCACAAGGGACACAAGUAGUACUGUUGCCAAGUCAACCAGGGUGUGGCCAGAGGGAGAGCUGUGUUCUAGGCCUGAAGCUGGCUUCUUGAUGGAGGAGCUUGGGCAAGGAG